rnacentral:rRNA from 1 species
AACGAACGCUGGCGGCAGGCGUAACACAUGCAAGUCGAACGGGGGUAGCAAUACAUCAGUGGCAGACAGGUGAGUAACACGUGGGAACCUUGCUAGGGGUACGGAACAACUCAGGGAAACUUGAGCUAAUACCGUAUACGUCCGUGAGGAGCAAGAUUUAUCGCCAUUAGACGGGCCCGCGUCGGUUUAGGUAGUUGGCGGGGUAACGGCCUACCAAGCCUACGAUCCGUAGCUGAUCUUAGAGGAUGAUCAGCCACACUGGGCCUGAGACACGGCCCAGACUCCUACGGGAGGCAGCAGUGGGGAAUCUUGGCCAAUGGGCGCAAGCCUGAUCCAGCCAUGCCGCGUGAGUGAAGAAGGCCUUAGGGUUGUAAAGCUCUUUUACCAGGGACGAUAAUGACGGUACCUGGAGAAUAAGCCCCGGCAAACUUCGUGCCAGCAGCCGCAGUAAGAC